UGUAUUUUUAUGAUACUUAUUUUUAUAGGAUUUUCAUAUUUUACUACAACGGUAUAUAUAUGUGUGUAAUAAAAUAUAAAUAUUUCAUGUUAGAGUUUAACUUAAAAAAAUCUCUUUCAGCUUUAUAAUACAACAGCAACGUAAGACAUUAACUAUAAGCACUAUGAAAAAUGUCAAUCGUUGACUUUUUAAAGAAAUUGUUAGGGACGAUGGCGCUGUCAUCGCGCUGUUCGUUUCAAAUGGCGUGAUGAUCGUAUUCCUAUCUAUAUGAUUUACCUAGGUAUUUAUUGAAACAAAUAAUGACUUAAAUUUAAGGGGGAAGGCCACUGUGACGACUGAAAAAAUAACCGAUUUUUAAGAAUUUGUUUUCACUGGGAUAACUAAUUAAUAAAGGGAUCGGAUUGUUGUUAUUUUAUUGAGUGUAUAUUAAACUUGUUUUAUAUAAAUUUUUAUUAAAAAAUUAACAAAAAUAUGGGCCUUGACUUAAGGGCUAAAAAAAAUGUUCCCUUCAUUGUAACAUUGAUAUUUCGAUGAAUGAUUAUCUGAAAAUAAAAAGCAAAAUUUUAUCGAUAUCUAUACGAAUAUUUUGUAAAAAUAGUAAUUAUUAAAAUUCUUGAAAUUGACUACGUACAAACUUAGACACUGCAAUUACAAAUAAAGAAAAAAAAAGAUAGAAGAAAGUAAUGUCGAGAAAAACGCGUUUAAAGUUUUCAUUGCGUUUUUCUUGAUAUAAAGUUAUAUAUUUUCUAAAAUUUUGAUAUUUACAUUAAACUAUUGAAUUCUGGGGCCAUAUGAUGAUUCUUCAUCAUCAUCUUCAGUAUCGUACUUGCCUUUUUUGAUUUUUUUAUGGACCCCUCUUUAAUCUUUAACACAAUGGAAGCCUUUACCGAACAAAUCUUAAGUAAUUUGAAACUCAAACGGUGAAUCUUCAAAGGUUAAUUAACGCAUUUUUUAAAAAUACAAUUGAAACUUAUUGAGGAAAUGAGAAACAUAGAAACUUUACAAUCAAAAAUUAAUUACAUUAAAGAAGACUUCACUAAUUGUAAUGACAUUAAGGAUACAUUGUUAAGCACUCUCCCAGAUGCGGAUAGAUAUUUAGAGGAGAAGUUUGAUAUUAAUGAAGAUUACGUAAAGAUAUGGGCAAUCGCACGAAGUUUAGUAAAAAAAAAGCGGAAUCGCAAUCGAUAACUCUUGUUCAACUGGUCAAUCGACAUCUUCUAAUCAAGCCGAUGAUCAAAUGAUUUAUCUACCACGAAUCGUAUUGUCCAUCUUUAGUCGUUAGCAUGAAGAAUGAUCCGGUUUCGCGGAUCAAUUCAAAUUUUCCAUUCACGACCAACAAUUAUUCUCUGGAUGAUUGUAAAAGCAGUUAAAUUACUUAAAACCUACAAAGCAAACCAGAGUCAACUAAUCUCAUCUCUAUACAUUUGCAUUUAUACAACAUUUGUGUUUAUAAAUCAAAAAUAUCACUUAUAUUCAUUAUAGAAUCACCUGUAUUCAACAAAAAUUUUUUUUGAACAAUACCAUUAGUUAAAUAUUUUAUAAAGGAAAAGUGUUUGAUGGCCUGUAAUAUGUA